GAUGAAGAACGUAGUGAAAUGCGAUACGUAAUGUGAAUUGCAGAAUUCAGUGAAUCAUCGAAUCUUUGAACGCACCUUGCGCCCCUUGGCAUUCCGAGGGGCACACCCGUUUGAGUGUCGUGAACAUCCUCAACCUCCUUGGUUUUUAUCGAACCAAGUAGGAUUGGAAUUUGGAGGUUUUCUGCUGGCCUCCUCUGAAGCCAGCUCCUCUUAAAUGUAUCAGUGGGUUCCGCUUUGCUUAGAUCCUCGACGUUGAUAAGAUGUUUCUACGUCUUGGGUUUUUCUCGCAAAGGACCUGCUUCUAACCGUCCCCAUCGGGGACAACCUUUGAGCCGAUCACCCUUCACGGGGUGGGAAGCUUUUUGAGCCACGAAACCUUGACCUCAAAUCGGGUGAGACUACCCGCUGAACUUAAGCAUAUCAAUAAGCGGAGGA
rnacentral:misc_RNA from 1 species